UACGAACUGCGCGAACGUUAUUCGGAAUCACUGGGCUUACAGGGUGCGUAGGCGGCCGAUCAGGUCCGAUGUGAAAUCCCCCAGCUCAACUGGGGAAUGGCAUUGGAAACCGACCGGCUCGAGUGAGCUAGAGAUGCACGGAACUUCCGGUGGAGCGGUGAAAUGUGUUGAGAUCGGAAGGAACACCAGAGGCGAAGGCGGUGCAUUGGGGCUUGUCUGACGCUGAGGCACGAAAGCCAGGGGAGCGAACGGG
rnacentral:rRNA from 1 species